GCAAGCCAGCAAGGGUGCCCUUCCCAGACACCAACCCUGCUGGCACCGUCACCUGGGACUUCUUGCCUCUGGAACUGGGAGAAAAUUAAAGCCGGCGUUGAAGGCACCCAGCCUGUGGUAUUCUGCUACAACAGCCUGAGAACACCGAAACGCCAGGGGAGUGCCACGUCUGAACUCCAGGCA